rnacentral:tRNA from 1 species
UUGCUGGUGGUUCAGUGGUUAAGACUCUGCAUUCCCAAUGCAGGGGACCUGGGUUUAAUCCCUGGUCAGGGAA